GAUGAAGAACGUAGCGAAAUGCGAUAAGUAGUGUGAAUUGCAGAAUUCAGUGAAUCAUCGAAUCUUUGAACGCACAUUGCGCCCCUUGGUAUUCCAUGGGGCAUGCCUGUUCGAGCGUCAUUUGUACCUUCAAGCUCUGCUUGGUGUUGGGUGUUUGUCUCGCCUCUGCGUGUAGACUCGCCUCAAAACAAUUGGCAGCCGGCGUAUUGAUUUCGGAGCGCAGUACAUCUCGCGCUUUGCACUCAUAACGACGACGUCCAAAAGUACAUUUUUACACUCUUGACCUCGGAUCAGGUAGGGAUACCCGCUGAACUUAAGCAUAUCAAUAAGCGGAGA
rnacentral:misc_RNA from 1 species